rnacentral:siRNA from 1 species
GCGAAGCUACCGUGCGCU